UACAGAGGUCCCGAGCGUUGUUCGGAUUCAUUGGGCGUAAAGGGUGUGUAGGUGGCGCGCUAAGUCGGGUGUGAAAUUUCGGAGCUUAACUCCGAAACUGCAUUCGAUACUGGCGUGCUUGAGGACUGGAGAGGAGACUGGAAUUUACGGUGUAGCGGUGAAAUGCGUAGAUAUCGUAAGGAAGACCAGUGGCGAAGGCGGGUCUCUGGACAGUUCCUGACGCUGAGGCACGAAGGCCAGGGGAGCAAACGGG
rnacentral:rRNA from 1 species